AUACGGAGGAUCCGAGCGUUAUCCGGAUUUAUUGGGUUUAAAGGGAGCGUAGGCGGAGGAUCAAGUCAGUUGUGAAAUGUAGGCGCUCAACGUCUGCACUGCAGUUGAAACUGGUCCCCUUGAGUGCGUAAGAGGCAGGCGGAAUUCGUCGUGUAGCGGUGAAAUGCUUAGAUAUGACGAAGAACUCCGAUUGCGAAGGCAGCUUGCUGGGCCGCAACUGACGCUGAGGCUCGAAGGUGCGGGUAUCGAACAGGAUUAGAUACCCUGGUAGUCCGCACAGUAAACGAUGGAUACUCGCUGUCGGCGAUAUACAGUCGGUGGCCAAGCGAAAGCGUUAAGUAUCCCACCUGGGGAGUACGCCGGCAACGGUGAAACUCAAAUGAAUUGACGGGG
rnacentral:rRNA from 1 species